rnacentral:ncRNA from 1 species
ACUGUGGAGUGUACAAGAACUUGUGAGUAGCGUAUUGUUUUACAAUCGUCAAAACAUACACAAAGAAGCAGUAA